CUGCGCCGAUGCUCCGUACGUUCGCAGUAACGGGUAGAGCGGAAGGCUCCGUGGCCAGGGAAGAGCGGCACGGACGCGUUCCUGCUCGCUCCGUUGCACCGGAAUUUCGACGGCUGGGUUCGGCCGCUAAAUUGAUGGCGCUACCGGAAGAAAUUUCAGAAAAAAAGGGUGGCUUUUUCGUCGAUCUCUUGGUGAGAGUAUCAAAUCAGGCGGCGGUAAAUACGUAGAAGCAGCUAGGCGUACUACGGCGUGUACCGGACAGCGUUGGCGUGCCGCUCUGCUAGCAGCGGAGAGCCAGAUGAGGAUGCCCGUGAUAUGAGAAAAGCUCUGUCCAGAGAUAUGGAGACGAAAUCAGUUGUACCUCACCCUGUGACACCGGAAGACAUUGAGUAACUGUAAGCUGUGAUGCUCAGUGAAAUUACUAAGAGCGUUAAGUUUCCCGUGCCUUUGCUUUCACUCUCCCAUUCUCUUGUCUUGCGGCACGUCGCAUUUUUUGAGGCCGUGGAAGCGACACCGGGAGCGAUGGGUUGU